GCUUAAAGAUGAGCUUGCGCCACAUUAGUUUGUUGGUGGGGUAAUGGCCUACCAAGACGAUGAUGUGUAGCUGGACUGAGAGGUCGAACAGCCACAUUGGGACUGAGACACGGCCCAAACUCCUACGGGAGGCAGCAGUAGGGAAUUUUCGGCAAUGGAGGAAACUCUGACCGAGCAACGCCGCGUGAACGAUGAAGUAUUUCGGUAUGUAAAGUUCUUUUAUUGAAGAAGAAAAAAUAGUGGAAAAACUAUCUUGACGUUAUUCAAUGAAUAAGCCCCGGCUAACUAUGUGCCAGCAGCCGCGGUAAGACAUAGGGGGCGAGCGUUAUCCGGAAUUAUUGGGCGUAAAGGGUGCGUAGGCGGUUAGGAAAGUCUAUAAUUUAAUUUCAGUGCUUAACGCUGUCUUGUUAUAGAAACUACCUUGACUAGAGUUAGAUAGAGGCAAGCGGAAUUCCAUGUGUAGCGGUAAAAUGUGUAAAUAUAUGGAGGAACACCAGAAGCGUAGGCGGCUUGCUGGGUCUUGACUGACGCUGAGGCACGAAAGCGUGGGUAGCAAACAGGAUUAGAUACCCUGGUAGUCCACGCCGUAAACGAUGAGUACUAAGUGUCGGGAUAAAACUCGGUACUGAAGUUAACACAUUAAGUACUCCGCCUGAGUAGUACGUACGCAAGUAUGAAACUUAAAGGAAUUGACGGGACUCCGCACAAGCGGUGGAUCAUGUUGUUUAAUUCGAAGAUACACGAAAAAUCUUACCAGGUCUUGACAUGCUCUGCAAAGCUAUAGAAAUAUAGUGGAGGUUAUCAGGGACACAGGUGGUGCAUGGUUGUCGUCAGUUCGUGUCGUGAGAUGUUAGGUUAAGUCCUAAAACGAGCGCAACCCUUGUCGUUAGUUACCAGCACGUAAUGGUGGGCACUUUAACGAGACUGCCAAUUAAACAUUGGAGGAAGGUGAGGAUUACGUCAAAUCAUCAUGCCCCUUAUGAUCUGGGCUACAAACGUGAUACAAUGGCUGUUACAAAGAGUAGCUGAAGCGCGAGUUUUUAGCCAAUCUCAAAAAAGCAGUCUCAGUUCGGAUUGAAGUCUGUAACUCGACUUCAUGAAGUUGGAAUCGCUAGUAAUCGCGAAUCAGCAUGUCGCGGUGAAUACGUUC
rnacentral:rRNA from 1 species